UACGUAGGUGGCAAGCGUUGUCCGGAUUUAUUGGGCGUAAAGCGAGCGCAUGCGGUUCCUUAAGUCUGAUGUGAAAGCCCACGGCUCAACCGUGGAAGGUCAUUGGAAACUGGGGAACUUGAGUGCAGAAGAGGAGAGUGGAAUUCCAUGUGUAGCGGUGAAAUGCGUAGAUAUAUGGAGGAACACCAGUGGCGAAGGCGACUCUCUGGUCUGUAACUGACGCUGAGGCUCGAAAGCGUGGGGAGCAAACAGGAUUA
rnacentral:rRNA from 1 species